UAACAUUCACAGGCUGGCCGGCCCCCAGGCUGGGCUGGGCUAGUAUCUCUUAGAAAGGCUCACCCUCAAGCACAACUAGGAGC
rnacentral:pre_miRNA from 1 species